rnacentral:rRNA from 1 species
UGAACGCUAGCUACAGGCUUAACACAUGCAAGUCGAGGGGCAUCAGGAAGAAAGCUUGCUUUCUUUGCUGGCGACCGGCGCACGGGUGAGUAACACGUAUCCAACCUGCCCUUUACUCGGGGAUAGCCUUUCGAAAGAAAGAUUAAUACCCGAUAGUAUAAUGAUUCCGCAUGGUUUCAUUAUUAAAGGAUUCCGGUAAAGGAUGGGGAUGCGUUCCAUUAGGUUGUUGGUGAGGUAACGGCUCACCAAGCCUUCGAUGGAUAGGGGUUCUGAGAGGAAGGUCCCCCACAUUGGAACUGAGACACGGUCCAAACUCCUACGGGAGGCAGCAGUGAGGAAUAUUGGUCAAUGGGCGCUAGCCUGAACCAGCCAAGUAGCGUGAAGGAUGAAGGCUCUAUGGGUCGUAAACUUCUUUUAUAUAAGAAUAAAGUGCAGUAUGUAUACUGUUUUGUAUGUAUUAUAUGAAUAAGGAUCGGCUAACUCCGUGCCAGCAGCCGCGGUAAUACGGAGGAUCCGAGCGUUAUCCGGAUUUAUUGGGUUUAAAGGGAGCGUAGGUGGACUGGUAAGUCAGUUGUGAAAGUUUGCGGCUCAACCGUAAAAUUGCAGUUGAUACUGUCAGUCUUGAGUACAGUAGAGGUGGGCGGAAUUCGUGGUGUAGCGGUGAAAUGCUUAGAUAUCACGAAGAACUCCGAUUGCGAAGGCAGCUCACUGGACUGCAACUGACACUGAUGCUCGAAAGUGUGGGUAUCAAACAGGAUUAGAUACCCUGGUAGUCCACACAGUAAACGAUGAAUACUCGCUGUUUGCGAUAUACAGUAAGCGGCCAAGCGAAAGCAUUAAGUAUUCCACCUGGGGAGUACGCCGGCAACGGUGAAACUCAAAGGAAUUGACGGGGGCCCGCACAAGCGGAGGAACAUGUGGUUUAAUUCGAUGAUACGCGAGGAACCUUACCCGGGCUUAAAUUGCAGUGGAAUGAUGUGGAAACAUGUCAGUGAGCAAUCACCGCUGUGAAGGUGCUGCAUGGUUGUCGUCAGCUCGUGCCGUGAGGUGUCGGCUUAAGUGCCAUAACGAGCGCAACCCUUAUCUUUAGUUACUAACAGGUUAUGCUGAGGACUCUAGAGAGACUGCCGUCGUAAGAUGUGAGGAAGGUGGGGAUGACGUCAAAUCAGCACGGCCCUUACGUCCGGGGCUACACACGUGUUACAAUGGGGGGUACAGAAGGCAGCUAGCGGGUGACCGUAUGCUAAUCCCAAAAGCCUCUCUCAGUUCGGAUCGAAGUCUGCAACCCGACUUCGUGAAGCUGGAUUCGCUAGUAAUCGCGCAUCAGCCACGGCGCGGUGAAUACGUUCCCGGGCCUUGUACACACCGCCCGUCAAGCCAUGGGAGCCGGGGGUACCUGAAGUACGUAACCGCAAGGAUCGUCCUAGGGUAAAACUGGUGACUGGGGCUA